rnacentral:ncRNA from 2 species
GGAGCAGCUUCUGGAGAGAUCGCAAUUAUUUGCGACGCCGAAGGGUUCACAAUCUCAGGCAAAAGGACAGAAGAGUACCG